GGAUGAAGAACGCAGCGAAAUGCGAUAAGUAAUGUGAAUUGCAGAAUUCAGUGAAUCAUCGAAUCUUUGAACGCACCUUGCGCCCUUUGGCCAUUCCGAAGGGCAUGCCUGUUUGAGUAUCAUGAACACCUCAACUCUUUAUGGUUUUCCAUGAUGAGCUUGGACUUUGGGGGUUUUGCUGGCCUAUGGUCGGCUCCUCUAAAAUAAAUCAGCUUACCGGUGUUUGGUGGGUAUCAUGGGUGUGAUAACUAUCUACGCUUGUGGUUUUUCCACCAGGUAACCUUCGACAGCGGAGGUUCACUGGAGCUCAUAGAUGUCUCUCCUCAGCGAGGACAGCCCUUUGAAUGUUUGAUCUCAAAUCAGGUAGGACUACCCGCUGAACUUAAGCAUAUCAAUAAGCGGAGGA
rnacentral:misc_RNA from 1 species